ensembl:lncRNA
UUUCCAUUUACAUUCGGGAAACUGAAAACCGCUUGAUAGUUUCCGAAGUUCAUCUGAAAUGUUUCCCAAUCAUGAUGAUGCCAACUGAAUAGUGAUUGAGAAGGUAAAUGCUGCUUUGGCAGAAUUAAAAUAAUUAUUGUUGCCUCUUCCAUGAGCAUUUGAACUAAGUAAUGGAGGUUGUAAGAGGUCUUUUUGCCGACUACACAACAGCGACCACUUCACACUCCUUUUUGGACCAAAGGUAGGGCUAUUGGAGCUUCAAGUAAUAUUUUUAUUGUAAGAAAUGUGACAUUGCAUUGAAAUUAUUUUUAUAAAUGUAUAUUAAUAUGAAGUAAUACCUUUUCUGUUGUGUCUUCAGCAGUUUGUUCUGUAUUAGGCUCAGGAUUGUACUUUGGUUUUGGUUCGUGUUUUGUUUUUGACAGGUCCAUUGCUGUGUCUGGAAUCAUCUGCUGAUGUGUUUAACUUCUGGACUUUGUGAUGGCUGUGGCAGUACUUCAGGUGGGUAAAAGUAUUUUGUCUUAUGUUUGUCCUGCUUUCUCGAUGUUUUCUGUGCCCAUUCUUCUUUCUGGCUGAAGAACUUUUCUUUAGGUUCUGGAUCACGGUAAGGCAGUAACAGAUUGUUGUUAAUUAUGAGUUCUUUGUAUCUGCCUUGGAGGGAUCCAUACAUGUUCUGUAUGAAGUCAGCAGGACGCAGGUACUUUUUCUUUUUAAGCAUGCUCUUAACAAUCCAAAAUCACUGUUCCACAUAACAGUUACUUUCCCUAGUUUUGGAUUGUAGGCUGACUGUAGUUGUGCUGAUUUCAGAAAACCGGCUAAGAUCCCCAAGAAGAACUCCACUCCACAGCGGGAAAAUGCUCAUGUAGUUGUUCAUGAGGAAGUCGAUGAGCUCUGGACAGAAAAAGGUAUUUUUUUUUUUCCCUGUCUUGCUACAGAGGUGGAGGCUCUUGGCUCUGUUCAAAACUGCAGUUAACAGUGAUGUAAAUGAUCCAGGGCAGUUUUGGCUGCAUUCACCACAUCUGUCUCCUUUUCUGAUGUGAAAAGAACAGACAUAUUUUCAAAUACAGCUGUUGCCUCUUCUAGAUGUGUGCUGUUUAACAAGGCAAAGCAGUAGGUGGCAUACUCUUUUAAAGCCUUGUUGUCAGUCUUUCUUGAAAAUGCCUGACACACUGCCUUAACAAUAUGUGAAUAGCAAAGAUGUAAGACUGUGAGUUGAAGAUCACCACUGUUUGCUUUGUUCAAAACAAUGCAGUGAGCUCUUUGUAAAUACAGCAAAAUGCUCUCUUUGUUGAAUGCCAGAAGGACACUUCAAAUUAGUCCACAGCUGAAGUCAGUCUCCACUUGAUGGACAUGGCAUGAUGUUAUUUGACCAAGAGCCCUUAAUGUUUCCAUUAGCCUGGUAUUAGGCUGGUAUUGGUGCUGAUGUGUUUCUGGACUUUGUGAUGGCUGUGGCAGUACUUCAGGUGGGUCAAAGUAUUUUGUCUUAUGUUUGUCGUGUUUUCUUUGUUUUCUUGCCCAUUCUUCUUUCUGGCUUUUCUUUAGGUUCUGGAUCACGGUAAGGCAGUAACAGAUUGUGGUUAAUUGUUUCAUCUGCCAUUACAAAACAAACUUACUUAAACAUCCCCGUUCCUGGAAGCACAAGACCAUAGUACAGCACUCUUUUGAGCUACUGGGAAUUUGGGAAACAAUACAGUUGGCUGCAAUCUAUGUAAACUGUGACUGUUGGUUUUUAACUUCUUGAUUUUUAACUUUUUUUUUUAUUUAUUUAUUUUUUUUAAACUUUUUUUUAUUUUAGAUGAACUGAUUACAUGCCCAGCAAAUGGGAUUCAGCGGAUGGAUUUGUUAAAAUGACCAUAAUUUCAUUUUUAUUUCAUUUGAAAUCACUUUCCAUUUCACUUUCCACCUAAUCCACCAAAAUCAAUCUCAUUUAAUUUUAAAUCGUCACAUCACAGGCCAGGAGUGCGUUUACCAAAAGCAGGUAGCUAGGUUGCAUUCUGCUCAAUUGGUAACAAUGGAACUUGCCACCAUCGUUGCUUUUGGGAAAACUCACCCCAGAAUAUAUGCCCUGUGAAAUCAUCUUUCGGUUCCUCCUUCCCCUCCUAAUCAAGACUUGAUUAUUUAAACUUUUUUUAAUAUUUGUUUUAAAUGAGUACUGUUUAACUUUUUUUUUUUAUUAUUAUUGUUUUUUUUUUUAUCUGCUUUAAUGUUUUUCCUAUUAAGUUGUAAUUAUGGAAUGUUUAAUUUUAGAGGUUUUUUUUUUUUAAUCCCUUGCUUCUAUCCCUUGCUUUAAUCCCUUGCUUCACUGGAGAAAAGCCUUUCACCUGCCAACAGUGUGGAAAAAGUUUCAAUCAAAAAGGAAACCUUAACAGGCACAUGGGAAUUCACACCAGGGAGAAGCAGACUGCAUCAUAUCGCCUGGAUGAUUAUCCUUUGGAGUAAAUGUGAUCACUAAAUUACACACCACCACGGUUUUUUGAAGCAGAUGUAUUAGUGAAGUCCCGUCUCUUCACCCGCACAAACGCACCGAGGCACGGAAGAUACUGUCCUAUUUCUUGUUAGGAAACCUGUGGACUCGAUGUCCUGACAGGCUGGAGUUAGUGCAUCCUCCACAAACACAACAAUUUACCAUGACGAUGAUAAAUUAAAAAAAAAAUAAAAUAAAAAAAAAUACAGAAAACA